GUAAGUGUCGACUGUGCAAGCUGUUUGAUGUGGUCCGGUGACCUCAUUGAUAUUUCCGAAGUUUCAGAAGUGUACCGAGGAGAAGAUGUCUUUAUAAGGUUGCCGGCUUCCAGUCUAGGAUUAACCCGAGAUUCAAGUUCAAGGAACAGACUAACGGGUUAUCGUACUGGUCUCAAUCAUUUCUGGUGCAAUCAUCUUGGGCCUAGUAUUUUUCAUAAUCUGGAAGAAAUCAAGGAAAAGAGAUGAAUCACUUCAUUUAACAAGAUUGGAAGGUGGGAAAGAUGAAAGAGAAGUGCCCUUAUUCGACUUGUCGAGCACGAAACUGCCACCGAUAAUUUCUCUUUUCACAAUUUAAUUGAAGAGGACGACUUUGGUCCUGUUUACAAGGGCAAUCUUCCAACGGGACAGGAAAUAGCAGUGAAGAGGCUAUCAAAAGGCUGAGCUCAGGGUGUUGAACAGUUCACGAAUGAAGUCGUUUUGAUAGCCAAACUUCAACAUAGGAAUCUUGUUGGACUGCUUGGUUGCUGCAUUCAAGGAGAAGAAAGGAUGUUAAUCUACGAGUAUAUGCCCAACAAAAGCUUGGAUUGCUUGAUAUUCGGUCAUAAAAGAAGAGCACAACUAUCAUGGAAAAACAGGUUCGAUAUUGUUCUAGGGAUCGCAAGAGGGCUGCUCUAUCUCCACCAGGAUUCUAAACUUCAAAUUAUUCAUAGGGAUCUCGAAGCAAAUAACAUUUUACUAGACAGCAACUAUAUCCCAAAAAUUUCAGAUUUUGGCCUGGCAAGAAUCACAGGUGGCAACGAUGAGG